GAAAAUAAACCGCCAGUUUUUCUGGUAAGGGUGAAAAGGUGUGGUAAGAGCGCACCGCGUUCGUGGUAACACGAAUGGCAGGGUAAACCCCACCUGGAGCAAGACCAAAUAGGAAUCCAAUGGUGUGGCCCGCAUCGGAUUCGGGUAGGUCGCUAGAGUUACAUGGUGACGUGUGACCGAGAUGAAUGGUCGCCCUCGACAGAACCCGGCUUACAGGCCGGCUCCCCAC
rnacentral:RNase_P_RNA from 1 species